rnacentral:rRNA from 1 species
AGCGAACGCUGGCGGCGUGCUUAACACAUGCAAGUCGAACGUGAAAAGGGGCAACCCUGAGUAAAGUGGCGUACGGGUGAGUAACGCGUAGGUAAUCUACCCUAGAGUCUGGAAUAACCGGCCGAAAGGCUGGCUAAUACUGGAUAGAGCGAUGGAAUCGGUAAUUCGGUUUUUCGGGAAAGGGAGCUCGCAAGAGCCCUCGCUUUAGGAUGAGCCUGCGUCUCAUUAGCUAGUUGGUGGGGUAAUGGCUCACCAAGGCUUUGAUGGGUAGCUGGUCUGAGAGGAUGAUCAGCCACACUGGAACUGAAACACGGUCCAGACUCCUACGGGAGGCAGCAGUGGGGAAUCUUGCGCAAUGGACGAAAGUCUGACGCAGCAACGCCGCGUGAGUGAAGAAGGCCUUCGGGUUGUAAAGCUCUGUCGUGCGGGACGAACAUCCAAACAGUUAAGAGCUGGUUGGAUUGACGGUACCGCAAAAGGAAGCACCGGCUAACUUCGUGCCAGCAGCCGCGGUAAUACGAGGGGUGCAAGCGUUGCUCGGAAUCAUUGGGCGUAAAGGGUAGGUAGGUGGUCUCAUUUGUCUGGGGUGAAAGCCUUGGGCUUAACUCAAGAAGUGCCCCGGAAACGGUGAGACUAGAGUGCUGGAGAGGGUCGUGGAAUUCCCGGUGUAGCGGUGAAAUGCGUAGAGAUCGGGAGGAACACCAGAGGCGAAGGCGGCGACCUGGACAGCUACUGACACUCAACUACGAAAGCGUGGGGAGCAAACAGGAUUAGAUACCCUGGUAGUCCACGCCGUAAACGAUGGGUACUAGGCUUGGCGGGUCUUGACCCCUGCUGAGCCGGCGCUAACGCAAUAAGUACCCCGCCUGGGAAGUACGGUCGCAAGACUA